rnacentral:sRNA from 2 species
AGGAUUUAGCCGCUUAAUCCGUCUUAUAAAAGGAGCGGGGGAACCAAACUUGGGGUGAAUCCUUAGUAUCGUCUAAGGUAGGGUUACUCUCAUAAUCCGAAUCCGUCAGCUAACCUCGUAAGCGCACAUGGGAGGAAUA